UGGAGGCAUAGGUAAACCUGGG
rnacentral:piRNA from 1 species